UGGGGAAUAUUGGACAAUGGGCGAAAGCCUGAUCCAGCCAUGCCGCGUGUGUGAAGAAGGUCUUCGGAUUGUAAAGCACUUUAAGUUGGGAGGAAGGGCAGUAAGCGAAUACCUUGCUGUUUUGACGUUACCGACAGAAUAAGCACCGGCUAACUCUGUGCCAGCAGCCGCGGUAAUACAGAGGGUGCAAGCGUUAAUCGGAAUUACUGGGCGUAAAGCGCGCGUAGGUGGUUCGUUAAGUUGAAUGUGAAAGCCCCGGGCUCAACCUGGGAACUGCAUCCAAAACUGGCGAGCUAGAGUAGGGCAGAGGGUGGUGGAAUUUACUGUGUAGCGGUGAAAUGCGUAGAUAUAGGAAGGAACACAAGUGGCGAAGGCGACCACCUGGGCUCAUACUGACACUGAGGUGCGAAAGCGUGGGGAGCAAACAGG
rnacentral:rRNA from 1 species